CCGAUGGAGGGGGAUAACUACUGGAAACGGUAGCUAAUACCGCAUAACGUCGCAAGACCAAAGAGGGGGACCUUCGGGCCUCUUGCCAUCGGAUGUGCCCAGAUGGGAUUAGCUAGUAGGUGGGGUAACGGCUCACCUAGGCGACGAUCCCUGCUGGUCUGAGAGGAUGACCAGCCACACUGGAACUGAGACACGGUCCAG
rnacentral:rRNA from 1 species